AAAAUAAUAAACAGACGACAUAUUUAACAAUAAUAAUAACACAAUCAUUGAGAAAACAUCUGAAGCAGUUCCUGAGAAGAGAGAAAAGAAGAAAAGUUAUUAACAUGUUAAUGUUGUUAGUGUGUCUGUGUGUACAUCUAAUUGUUAGUGUGUAUGUGUGUACAUCGAAUUGUUAGUGUGUCUGUGUGAACAUCGAAUUGUCAGUGUGUCUGUGUGUAGAUCUAAAUAUUAAUAUGUCUUUGUGUACAUCUAAAUAUUAGUGUGUGUCUUUGUUUAGAACCAGAUGUUAGUGUGUCUGUGUGUACAUCUAAAUAUUAAUGUGUCUUUGUGUACAUCUAAAUGUUAGUGUGUCUGUGUGUACAUCUAAAUAUUAAUAUGUCUUUGUGUACAUCUAAAUAUUAGUGUGUGUCUUUGUUUAGAACCAGAUGUUAGUGUGUCUGUGUGUACAUCUACAUAUUGUGUCUCUGAGUAGAUCUGUGUGUGUGUGAGUGUGGGUGUGUGUGUGUGUCAUGCGUAGAUCUGGAUUUGCUCCUGAGGGGUUGACAUGACGUCCUGAUGGAGUCCUGACGGCGUCCUGAUGGCGUCCCGUUGACGUGGCGUCCUGAUGGCGUCCUGUUGGUCUGCAGACAAGGAGAAGAGACGUGAGGAGGAUCAUCAGGAUGUGUCUAUCUGGAUUUGCUCCUGAGGGGUUGACAUGACGUCUUGAUGGAGUCCUGACGGCGUCCUGAUGGCGUCCCGUUGACGUGGCGUCCUGAUGGCGUCCUGAUGGCGUCCUGUUGGUCUGCAGACAAGGAGAAGAGACAUCUGGAUUUGCUCCUGAGGGGUUGACAUGACGUCUUGAUGGAGUCCUGACGGCGUCCUGAUGGCGUCCCGUUGACGUGGCGUCCUGAUGGCGUCCUGAUGGCGUCCUGUUGGUCUGCAGACAAGGAGAAGAGACGUGAGGAGGAUCAUCAGGAUGUGUCUGUGUGUACAUCUAAUUGUUAGUGGGUCUGUGUGUACAUUUAAAUAUUAAUGUGUCUUUGUGCAGAACCAGAUGUUUGUGUGUUUUUGUGUACUUCUGAAUACUAAUGUGUCUGUGUGUACAUCGAAUUGUUAGUGUGUCUGUGUGAACAUCGAAUUGUCAGUGUGUCUGUGUGUAGAUCUAAAUAUUAAUAUGUCUUUGUGUACAUCUAAAUAUUAGUGUGUGUCUUUGUUUAGAACCAGAUGUUAGUGUGUCUGUGUGUACAUCUAAAUAUUAAUGUGUCUUUGUGUACAUCUAAAUGUUAGUGUGUCUGUGUGUACAUCUACAUAUUAAUGUGUAUUUGUGUACAUCUAAAUGUUAGUAAGUGUCUUUGUUUAGAACCAAAUGUUAGUGUGUAUGUGUGUACAUCUAAUUGUUAGUGUGUCUGUGUGAAUAUCGAAUUGUUAGUGUGUCUGUGUGUACAACUAAUUGUUAGUGUGUCUGUGUGUACAUCAAAAUAUUAAUGUGUCUUUGUGUACAUCUAAAUGUUAGUGUGUGUCUUUUUUAGAACCAAAUGUUAGUGUGUCUCUGAGUACAUCUGUGUGUGUGUGUGUGUGUGUGUGUGUGUGUGUGUGUCAUGCGUAGAUCUGGAUUUGCUCCUGAGGGGUAGACGUGACGUCCUGAUGGCGUCCCGUUGACGUGGCGUCCUGAUGGCGUCCUGAGGGCGUCCUGAUGGCGUCCUGAUGGCAUCCUGAUGGCGUCCCGUUGACGUAGCGUCCCGAUGACGUGGCGUCCUGAUUGCGUCCUGUUGGUCUGCAGACAAGGAGAAGAGACGUGAGGAGGAUCAUCAGGAUGUGAGACAAGAUUCAUAGAUCCAAUUAUUUUAAUUUGAUGCACAUUUUAAUUAUUUCAUGUUUGUAUGGAUGUGUAAAUCUACAUUAUAUAUUUGUGGUUGUUAAACUGUAUUUCUGUAUUUGCUUUUCAUGUUUAGCUAGUCUCUGUGCAUACCAAUAUGUUAGUGCGUAUCUGUGUAAGUACUUUUUACAUUACAUUACAUUUCAUUUAGCUGACGCUUUUAUCCAAAGCGACUUACAAUAAGUGCAUUCAACCAUAGGGUACAAACUCAGAAGAACAAGAAAGUGCAAUUUCCUCAAAUAACUUGUAUAUGUUAGUGCGUCUCUGUGUAAGUACUUUUAUAUGUUAAUGCGUCUCUGUGUACAUCUACAUGACAACAGCAGGAAUCAGAGGUUUAUCUCAAGGUAUCAGCUCUAAAUCACAGCCUUCUCCACCCGAUAGACCAAUACAUCAUUCACAGCAGUAAGGCUGCAGUCUGUCUGGAUUCCUCACUUACCUUGAGCUCUGUUAAGUGCAGCAGAACGCGUCUUCGUCCCCUCUACAGACUCCUGAGGCAUUACAUGGUUGCUUUCUGCAAGUGUAGGUCCGGAAAACUUCAGUGUGUAGAUGCGAGGUUUGAAACUGACUGACUGGAUGUGCAACAGACUGUGUUUCUUAUGCUGUGGUGAACGGAGCAUAGAACAUGGAACAUUGAGAAAUGUUCCAUCAUGAUGUAACGUCUCUAUGGUUACAGUGAAGGUAUCUACAAUAUGCAAAUGAGCCUUUAGAGUAAAUGUGUGUGUGUGGACGGUGUAUUUGUAUUGAUGGAGCUCAUCCACUUAACAUGGUGCAUAAAACACUUUGCUCUACUUGUUUUUUUCUAUGACCCCAUCUUGAUCUUGAAAGCAAACACUUUAAGAAAACAUAAAGAACGAUUUUUGUCCAUUGUUUCAUCAAGUCAGAAAUUUGUAAACUGUUGAAUCUGGAUUUAUAAACAUCCCUUUCGAGCCCUCUUGUCUCCAGUCUUCAUGCUAAGCUAACCAGCGGCUGGCUUUAGCUUCACGUUGAGCGCGCAGACAUGAGAGUAGGGAUGAGUAUCGUUUGGGUUUUUCCGAUACCGAUCCUAAACAGAGCCUGAACCCAAACACAAUUGAAGAAAAAAAAAAGUCACUUCAAACUAUGCACAAUAUAUGAACUUUUGAAAGUUUACAGUAUGAUUACAGUGUUUCCCCUCUGUAACAGCGGAAGUGUAGUUAAUUGGAAUUUGGGGAAUAUUAAUCAUUUAAUUUGAGAUUCAUGUUCAUUGUGCAGGAACUAAAGACAUUUAUUGAAAAGCAUUUACGUUAGAUUGACGCUCCUCGUUUGUCUCAAAGUAUUGACGUGCAACACAGAAGAGCUGCAUGAGGCACGAGAGCACAUCGCUUUUCUAUUGUGUAGAAAAAUAAAUACGAAUAGAAGGUAGAUGGCUAGCUAGCUGCUGUAGCUACACAAGCGGUGAGCUAUCGUUAGCUGCUGCGAGGACAGAGUUAUCAGACUGUUUAAUUAGGGUGACCAAACGUCCUCUUUUCCCCGGACAUGUCCUCUUUUUGAGACCUAAAAAAUGCGUCCGGCAGAGAUUCCAAAAACGUCCGGGAUUUUGUCUUCGUCGUAUAUUUGUGUUUCUCUGGGUCUUUCACAAACUAGUUAUUACGCCCUUACAAGUUUUGGAAAUGGUGUCUCCCUUACGUUCCACCUUCUUUCGCGAGCUCUGACUGUAGAGAGAACAGUCAUUGGUCGACCGAUCUCAAUGUUGCCAGAUACACGAUAAUGAUCCUCCAAAUACGACCAUUUUGAGCCUUUGGUACGAUACUUCACCAUUUCCAAUCUGGCAACACUGAGCACUUUGCCGCCUCCACUAGUUGCAUUGUUUACAGCACAUCUGCAGCCAUGCCGAAACGUAAAUGUAAGUUUACGGACGAACUAAAAGAAAAUACCCAUGUUUUCGCCUCGGCCGUGAUGCUUCGGAAGCUUUUCUUAUUUUAAUAUGUGGCUAUAUAAAGUAUUUACUAUUUAUUAUUUGUUUAUUUGUUAUCAUUAUUGCUUCAAUAUAUGGACAAGACACAUUAAAGAAGCGCUGGACUAAA
ensembl:lncRNA